UUAAAUUGAAGAGUUUGAUCAUGGCUCAGAUUGAACGCUGGCGGCAGGCCUAACACAUGCAAGUCGAACGGUAACAGAAAGCAGCUUGCUGCUUUGCUGACGAGUGGCGGACGGGUGAGUAAUGUCUGGGAAACUGCCUGAUGGAGGGGGAUAACUACUGGAAACGGUAGCUAAUACCGCAUAACGUCGCAAGACCAAAGAGGGGGACCUUAGGGCCUCUUGCCAUCGGAUGUGCCCAGAUGGGAUUAGCUAGUAGGUGGGGUAACGGCUCACCUAGGCGACGAUCCCUAGCUGGUCUGAGAGGAUGACCAGCCACACUGGAACUGAGACACGGUCCAGACUCCUACGGGAGGCAGCAGUGGGGAAUAUUGCACAAUGGGCGCAAGCCUGAUGCAGCCAUGCCGCGUGUAUGAAGAAGGCCUUCGGGUUGUAAAGUAC
rnacentral:rRNA from 1 species